AGGAUGAAGUUAUUUCUUAAGAUUGCCCUGCACUGGCAAUUAUUGGCAAUGAUUAUUGAGUUACUUGGAGCUGGGGGUGCUACUGACGGAGGACACUAGGAAGUCCUUGCCUAUAAAUGAUGAGGAAAUUGCAGCUUAGAAAGAUGAAGAGACUUGACCUUCAAGGCUCAACUCAAACACUACCUGCUCUGUAAAGCCUUUCCCAGUGGUCCCUGGAUAGAGGUGUUGUCCUGAAUCUCUAAGAAAAGCUACAGAAUCUGUAGAGAUCUCCCUUGCUUGCCGUACAGAUGGGCCCCUGAUAAAAUCAAGCCGAUGGGAAGUGGACCUUGUCUACAAGGCACAGUGUGUAGGUCUCACGGUGUACUCUUUUCAAGGUCUUAGGCAGCUCAGAUGAGGAGACCAAUGAAGGGAGCUGAUGGAAUAGUAUUUCUCUACCUCACCUACAGACAGGAAACAUCCAAGGGAGAAGACCAGCAGCAUGAUGGAAUGGAGUGUGUGUGUGUACGUGUGUGUGUGUGCACGCGCGUGCAUGUGCAUGUGUUCUCCUUCCUCCCCACUCCCCAUAGGAAGAGGUAAGUAGAGGAGAAGGGCAAGUGAUGGAGUAAUUUUUACACUGAAUAUGUAAAGCUGUUUGUUUGUUAUCCUUCAUUCUUGAAGAGGACCCAGAUGACAUCACUCUUGACUGAUCAGACCAGUAUGAGUUUGCAAUACGCUACCACAUGCUGGGCACAAAUAGUCCGGGUGAAUAUUUGGGGUGGAUUCUCUAAAUGUGUGCAUCUCACAUUCCUUCUG